UAGUUUGAUCCUGGCUCAGGAUGAACGCUGGCGGCGUGCCUAAUACAUGCAAGUCGAGCGAACAGAUGGAGUGCUUGCACUCCUGACGUUAGCGGCGGACGGGUGAGUAACACGUGGGUAACCUACCUAUAAGACUGGGAUAACUUCGGGAAACCGGAGCUAAUACCGGAUAAUAUUUAGCUUCGCAUGAAGCAAUAGUGAAAGACGGUUUUGCUGUCACUUAUAGAUGGACCUGCGGUGUAUUAGCUAGUUGGUGAGGUAACGGCUCACCAAGGCAACGAUACAUAGCCGACCUGAGAGGGUGAUCGGCCACACUGGGACUGAGACACGGCCCAGACUCCUACGGGAGGCAGCAGUAGGGAAUCUUCCGCAAUGGACGAAAGUCUGACGGAGCAACGCCGCGUGAGUGAAGAAGGUUUUCGGAUCGUAAAACUCUGUUGUAAGGGAAGAACAAGUACGUUAGUAACUGAACGUACCUUGACGGUACCUUACCAGAAAGCCACGGCUAAC
rnacentral:rRNA from 1 species